rnacentral:rRNA from 1 species
GACAGAGGGUGCAAACGUUGUUCGGAAUUACUGGGCGUAAAGCGCGCGUAGGCGGUGAUCUUUGUCAGAGGUGAAAUCCCGAGGCUCAACUUCGGAAUUGCCUUUGAAACGGGAUCGCUUGAGUCCGAGAGAGGAUGGCGGAAUUCCUAGUGUAGAGGUGAAAUUCGUAGAUAUUAGGAAGAACACCGGUGGCGAAGGCGGCCAUCUGGCUCGGUACUGACGCUCAGGCGCGAAAGCGUGGGGAGCAAACAGG